rnacentral:tRNA from 1 species
GGGUUGCAGUUCAGGGUGAUGCAGAGCCGUUCAGGAUGGACCACGCAUGCCCGCUGACCUGCAUUGAACCAUCUGGAACCAUGAUCGUCCGAGCUUUUAAUCCGUAGGUUCAGGGUUCGAAUCCCUGGCGGCCCACCA